rnacentral:misc_RNA from 1 species
UCCAGGCUCCGGGAACACAAAGCAA